GAUGAACGCUGACAGAAUGCUUAACACAUGCAAGUCUACUUGAACUUCGGUUUGGGUGGCGGACGGGUGAGUAACGCGUAAAGAACUUGCCUCACAGUUAGGGACAACAUUUGGAAACGAAUGCUAAUACCUGAUAUUAUGAUUUUAGGGCAUCCUAGGAUUAUGAAAGCUAUAUGUGCUGUGAGAGAGCUUUGCGUCCCAUUAGCUAGUUGGAGAGGUAACGGCUCACCAAGGCGAUGAUGGGUAGCCGGCCUGAGAGGGUGAACGGCCACAAGGGGACUGAGACACGGCCCUUACGCCUACGGGAGGCAGCAGUGGGGAAUAUUGGACAAUGGACCAAAAGUCUGAUCCAGCAAUUCUGUGUGCACGAUGACGUUUUUCGGAAUGUAAAGUGCUUUCAGUUGGGAAGAAAAAAAUGACGGUACCAACAGAAGAAGUGACGGCUAAAUACGUG
rnacentral:rRNA from 1 species